rnacentral:rRNA from 1 species
AUACGGAGGGUGCAAGCGUUAUUCGGAAUCACUGGGCGUAAAGGACACGUAGGCGGGUUGGCAAGUCAGAUGUGAAAUCCUACAGCUUAACUGUAGAACUGCAUUUGAAACUGCUAACCUAGAGUAUGGGAGGGGGAGAUGGAAUUAGUGGUGUAGGGGUAAAAUCCGUAGAUAUCUCUAGGAAUACCGAAAGCGAAGGCGAUCUCCUGGAACAUAACUGACGCUAAGGCGUGAAAGCGUGGGGAGCAAACAGGAUUAGAAACCCUAGUAGUCC